rnacentral:snoRNA from 2 species
UCCCUCUCAGGGUGGCACCUGGAAAGUUUCUAAUACUCUAUCAGUCUCAACUAUGGAAGGGAGAGUCAAGCAGAGGCCUACCCAUUCCAUUCCUAGCUUGGCCAGUGGCUAGUGAGUAGAAGGCAAUCUGCUACAAAU